GAUGAACGCUAGCGGCAGGCUUAAUACAUGCAAGUCGAGGGACAGCACAGGUAGCAAUACUGGGUGGUAACCGGCAAACGGGUGCGGAACACGUACACAACCUUCCUUUAAGUGGGGGAUAGCCCAGAGAAAUUUGGAUUAAUACCCCGUAAUAUAGUUGAAUGGCAUCAUUUGAUUAUUAUAGCUACGGCGCUUAAUGAUGGGUGUGCGGCGGUUUAGAUAGUUGGCGGGGUAACGGCCCACCAAGUCUACGAUCAGUAGCUGAUGUGAGAGCAUGAUCAGCCACACGGGCACUGAGACACGGGCCCGACUCCUACGGGAGGCAGCAGUAAGGAAUAUUGGUCAAUGGACGCAAGUCUGAACCAGCCAUGCCGCGUGAAGGAUUAAGGUCCUCUGGAUUGUAAACUUCUUUUAUUUGGGACGAAAAAGGGCCUUUCUAGGUCAACUGACGGUACCAGAUGAAUAAGCACCGGCUAACUCCGUGCCAGCCGCCGCAGUAACAC
rnacentral:rRNA from 1 species